UGCUCAGAUGGUGGAAUUGGUAGACACAAGGGACUUAAAAUCCCUUGGGAGCAAUCCCGUGCGGGUUCGAGUCCCGCUCCGAGCAU
rnacentral:tRNA from 1 species